rnacentral:rRNA from 1 species
UACAGAGGUCCCAAGCGUUGUUCGGAUUUACUGGGCGUAAAGCGUGCGUAGGCGGUUGGGUAAGUCGGAUGUGAAAGCCCUGGGCUUAACCUGGGAAUGCCAUUCGAUACUGCCCGACUCGAGUUCGGUAGAGGGCGGUGGAACUCCAGGUGUAGCGGUGAAAUGCGUAGAUAUCUGGAAGAACACCAAUGGCGAAGGCAACCGCCUGGGCCUGAACUGACGCUGAGGCACGAAAGCGUGGGGAGCAAACAGG